UCAUUUGACGAGAAGAUGAACGAGUCUUUAAGUUUCACUUCACAGGUUCGUUUGAUCCACACCAGUCACAUCACUGCUGACAAAAUGAAGCCAAGACUAUACAGCAAACCGCGGCCACGUUUCCUUCAUCACAGCCUGAGGCUACUUCUCCUUUUCCUAUCAGAGAUCUUCAGCUCUGUUGGUGGAUCUUCAGGUCAGGAGCUGCUCGGUGCUGUAGGCGAGUCUGUUACUUUCCCUAUCCGUGUGCCUGUUACAGGCACUAUAAGUUAUAAAGGCAACACAGUUGGAUAUGUGUUUAAUAAACAGAGUGACACAAACGUCAUUGAGAAGUUCAUGAAUCGUCUUCAUUGGGUGAGUCAGAUUCGGUUCUUCACUAUCUCACACCUGAGAACAGAUGAUUCAGGACUUUACACAGUGGAGAGCACUAAAGAGCUGAAGGGAAAACAGGAUUAUCAGCUGGAGGUGUACGAUAGAGUUUCAGCUCCUCGGGUGAUGAAGGCAGCCUCCAGUUCUUCAGAGUUCUGUUCAUUACUGUGUUCUGUGAGGAACGUCAGAGGACUGAAGCUGUCUUUGUAUAAAGAUGAUGUUUUAUUAAACCACACCAGCAGCAACAACACAUCCAACAUCACACUGAAUCUUCAUCUGGAAAUAAAGAAGACGGACAACCAGAGAGGGAGAACCUUCAGCUGUGUGGCUUCCAACCCAGUCAGUAAAGAGUCAACUCCAAUCAACAUCACACAGUACUGCUCUCUGGACACAGAAGAUGACGUUAGUCCUCCUCGGUCCAGUGUGCCCAUUGCUGUCAUAUGCAGUGUGAUUUCAGUCCUGGCAAUAAUCGUGAUGUUUGUGUGUCUGUGGAAAAGGAAACAAAAGGAAUCCACACAGCUUACAGAAGGCAGACUCAUCUGCAACUGAAGGACUGAAUGAAGAAAUACAGUAUUCUGUGAUAAAUCAUAAAAUCCCACUCAGGAAAAUACACGAGAUUCUGUCUGUGAGGACAACAGCAGUUUAUGAGCAGGUUUGCAUGCAGUGACUGCAGCAGAAACCGAACAGAAAAGAUCAGAACUGAAAGCUGCUUAUCAGAUUAUUAUCAGACCAAAAAAAAAAAAAGAUAGAUAUUUUAUUGGUACGUUUUGUUUUUUUGCAUAAACCACAGAAUCAACCCACAAUGCAACAAUGCAUAACCAAACAUUUAAUCAUUUUUAUAUUUAUAAUUUUUUAAACAAUAGACAAUACAGUUCUUUCAUAUUUGCAUAUUAAUUUACAUAAUCACCUGUGCAACUAACAAAUGUUAGAAAACGUACAGUAUGACCUCAUUAUGUUUCAUCUUCUCCUAUCAUGUACGACCUCUCAUUAAACGUGUAUAGAGACAAUAUGAAGGAAAGUAAAGCUCAGAAGGAAGAAGCAGAGAUCACUGGUGCCUGUGGUAUAUAUAUAUAUAUAUAUAGAAUAUAGAAUAUAAAAUGUCAGUAAUGUUGAUAAUGUUGAUUCGGCCUUCACAAACCCUUGACUGUUGCCCCAUUAUGAGCUCCCACUCAUUUGCAGCGUCUUGUAUAAUUACAAAAUAUAAUUACUUUGCAGAAAGCACAGAGAGCCUUUUCCACAUUCACUUCUUUCUACACUGUACAGCUAUAAAACUGCUUUUAAAAUCCA